rnacentral:rRNA from 1 species
GACGAACCGUACGAACGUUAUUCGGAAUCACUGGGCUUAAAGGGUGCGUAGGCUGCGCAGCAAGUUGGGUGUGAAAUCCCUCGGCUUAACCGAGGAACUGCGCCCAAAACUGCUGUGCUCGAGGGAGAUAGAGGUGAGUGGAACUUAGGGUGGAGCGGUGAAAUGCGUUGAUAUCCUAAGGAACACCGGUGGCGAAAGCGGCUCACUGGAUCUCUUCUGACGCUGAGGCACGAAAGCUAGGGUAGCGAACGGG